rfam:Hordeum vulgare subsp. vulgare, WGS project CAJW01000000 data, contig: morex_contig_1564307
UAGUGGGAAUCUUACCCGUGCUUCUGAUUAAUUUAUGAAGCACAAGGGAAAACAUGAUUGAAUUUCUUAUUAUGUGCUG